CCUACGGGUGGCAGCAGUGGGGGAUAUUGCACAAUGGGGGGAACCCUGAUGCAGCGACGCCGCGUGAGUGAAGAAGUAUUUCGGUAUGUAAAGCUCUAUCAGCAGGGAAGAAAAUGACGGUACCUGGCUAAGAAGCCCCGGCUAACUACGUGCCAGCAGCCGCGGGAAUACGUAGGGGGCAAGCGUUAUCCGGAUUUACUGGGUGUAAAGGGGGCGUAGACGGCAGAGCAAGUCUGAAGUGAAAGCCCGGGGCCCAACUGCGGGACUGCUUUGGAAACUGCCCGGCUAGAGUGCUGGAGAGGUAAGCGGAAUUCCUAGUGUAGCGGUGAAAUGCGUAGAUAUUAGGAGGAACACCAGUGGCGAAGGCGGCUUACUGGACAGUAACUGACGUUGAGGCUCGAAAGCGUGGGGAGCAAACAGGAUUAGAUACCCCUGUAGUC
rnacentral:rRNA from 1 species